UGUACUUUGUAAAUCAAUUAUCGAUUUUAUUACCGGCAAAACUAUCUCGUAUUUAAGAAAAUAGUGUUUUUUGAAAUCUUCUGUCGUAAUGAUUUUAUAGACUUAUGAAUCAUAUUCUAUUUGUUUUUGAAUGAAUUUCAAAACCCUUUUAAGUUAUAUUUACUUUAAGAAUGAUUGAAACGAAACAUUUUAGUGGUUUCCUUAAAAAAUCGUAUUGAACUUUAAUUACUUUUGUUACGAUGCAUUUCCAUACAUGCUAGUGAUGCCCCAAUAUAAUACAAAGGUUAUGUUUAAUGAUAUGAUUAUGCUAAGCAUGUUUUACCCACGUGGGAAAUAUUAUGAUUUGAUUUUGUUAAGUCGCAAAUAAAGUAUGUUUUGCUAUGUGCAACUAAAAGAUGUUUAUCAUAUGGAAAAAAUUAAUAUUUUUGACUUUCAAAUGCUAUUAAAAUUACAAGAUAUAUAUUAUGUACAAAAAAAAUAUUUUAGCCUAAAUGACGGGUACAUAUGCCACAGCAAAUGUUAUGUGCAUGAUUAAACGGCUCACCAAUGCUGAUCGUGUAUUGUUCACAAUACCAUUGUGUUACACUUGUCGGACAUGUCGCGGACUGUAGACCGACUACCAAACGAGUCACAGGAUAACUCACAGAGUACCCAUGUAAACUUAUGAUAUGAGUUUGAAAUUAAUUUGGAUCCAUUGAGAUCUUGUGAUUUAUGAUGAAAAAUGAGAAUUUAAAAUGACUAUAUAGCCAUUGAACUGGAUUUGAAUCAUAAUAUGAUUUAUGCAAUUGAAAAAGCAUAUUUCAAAAUGAAUUUACUCAAAUAAAAAAAAAGAUUUUAAUAACUUAUUUGACGGACACCAGUGUGUUUAUACUCAGCCUUUUUGCUGAUACUAUGCUUUGUAUGAUUUUCCAAUGGUUUUUUUUUAGAGUAAACUCCUAUAGCACCUCGACGGAUAAUGGAUAUGCGAGCGGAAGUUGAACCCGGGUUGGAGUAUGACUUCCCUUUUGUUUAGAUCUCUUCAUUGUAUUUGAGAGACUAUUAGUUUAGAUUUAGACUAAUUUAAGGAUGUAGUUUGAACUUUAGACUUCACUACAAGAAAACUUGUUUUUAGCAACAAGUUUUAGCAACGACUAUAUUUUUUUCGUUGCGAAAAAUACAAAUUGUUGCGAAAAUCCGUUGUUGUUGCUAAAUAAUCGUUGCCAUAAAAAAAAAAGAGCGCGGGCUUUGAAAUAAUUAAUAUUUGUUUUUUGCAACGAUACCAGUCGUUGCUAUAAAGCAUUAUUAGGUAACGCAACAACACGAGUCAUUGGGAAAAAUUAUUUUAUGUAUUGCAACAACAAUGUCAUUGCAAAAAAAAAAAAAAUUGAAAACCUAAAACACGGGAAAUUGGAGAAAGAGAGAAAGCUUGCUUCAGAAAGCCAAGCCUCACGCGAUGCGAAACAGCAAAAUCGCCUCCUCCCUGCUUCAAGCCUCCUGCCUGCUUGCCUCGCCUCCGGCCUCCCCACGUCGACGUCGUACCUCCGGCGCUCCUGUCCCUGCCUCCCCAGUGCCACCGGCCACCGCCGUCACGCCGUACGUUUAAUCGUUUAUGAACCCUAAUUUUUGAAUGUUGGUUUUGUCGAUUGUUGUUUACUCGUUUUGAUGCCGGUUUUGAUAAUUGAUAUUGAUUCUCUAUUUCUCUUGAUCUUGAUGUUCUGAAUCAAAUGUUGAAGAUGAAUAUUGGUUUUGAUGCUGGUUUUGAUUUUUGAAUGUUGGUUUUGUCGAGUAUGUCGACUGUGGUUUACUCGUUUUGAUGCUGGUUUUGAUAAUUGAUUUUGAUUCUCUAUUUCUCUUGAUCUUGAUGUUCUGAAUCAAAUGGUGAAGAUGAAUGUUGGUUUUGAAUGCUGGUUUUCAUCAUUCGUUUUCUUUUUGAUUUUAUGGUGAAGAUGAAUCAAAAUAUGCAUGCUGGCCUGGUUUUGAUGCUUGAAUGUUGGUUUUGUCGACUGUCGUUUAUUCGUUUUGAUGCUGGUUUUGAUAAUUGAUAUUGAUUCUCUAUUUCUCUUGAUCUUGAUGUUUUGAAUCAAAUGGUGAAGAUGAAUGUUGGUUUUGAAUGCUGGUUUUCAUCAUUCGUUUUCUUUUUGAUUUUAUGGUGAAGAUGAAUCAAAAUAUGAAUGCUGGUUUUGAUGCUUACGGUUUUGAUGCUGGAAAUAUGAAUCAAAAGCAUUGAUCACAAGUUAGUUUUCUUAAGCGUUGAUGAAUCAAAAUAUGAAUCAUUAUAAUGCUUAAGUUAGUUUUCUUGCUUUUAAUUUGCUAUCUGUUGGAAAUAUGAUCACAAGCAUUGACAGUGUUGUGUGGGUCAUCUGAAUAAGCAAUUCUUUGAAGUUAUUAGAUGUAAAAUCAAACUUGUUUAAUGUCUUAAUUUGACAAAUUUGGGAUUCAUACACUGUAAAGGCUCAGACUUUUAAGACCGCCAUAGAAGCAGCCUGUAUGCUUCUUAGGAUAGAUGAUAUAGUGAGUGGCAUCAAGAAGAAGCAGGCUCCAGGAGCACAAGCUCCGUCGCAACCAUCGAUUGAGUAGGCAGAUGAUGCUGAUAAUGAACAAAUGAUACCAGAGUGAAAGUAUUAGAACAAGGAACUUAACAAAUUGCCUAUCAGCCUGCUGCUGGGGUCAUGUGACCGGCUUGUGUAGGGGCAAAUCAUUUUGGUACCAUUUUUCGAAGGUCCCUCUUUUUGGUGGUUUGGUUUAAUUUAAUCCCUUGUUGCAUCUGUUGAGGGUUUGCUUAAACUUUUCUUGAGUAACUUAGCUGGGAACAGAGUAGCCAUUCUUUUUGUUGAAUUUUUGACUUUGCAGGAUGAAAACUGAUAAAAAACCACCGCUUGCGACCUUGCGAAAUCUCCGAUGAGGAUUCGUGGGCGUCGAUCAGUUCUAAAACCAUCUAACACAAAUACACCUUUUCGUACACCAGGUCUUCUCAUUUGUUUUUAGAGACGGUGAUCCAAAUCAAGGAAUUGAAGAGAAGAGGUGGAAGCUGAUUCAAUACAAACGGAGGUGUCAGAUUCAAUGGAAGCAGAUGAAAUUGAAGCAUCAACUAUGGAGAUUGAGAAUGCAAAGUGCCUAUCACUUGUAAAUUUUUACAUGAAAACUUGUAUAUGGUAGGAGAAUUAUUUUGGAAAAUUGGUUAUACGUUACAUGUAUAUGAAUUACGUAUAUUUUUGACACACGAUAAUAUUUGGACGUGUGAUAUUUUGGGAU